GGGCAUAUGGUGUAUCUGGUUAUCACGUUCAUAUUGCAUUCUGCGGGACCAUAGUCUCAAUGCUUUGUGAAAAGUGUCCGGUUCGAGUCCGGGCAUGCCCC